ACUAAACCCCGGCUAACGUUUUGACGCAAUAUUGUUAUUGUAUCGAAGGGGAACAGAGGAACUGCAGUCCUGCUCACCAAAC
rnacentral:lncRNA from 13 species